AACGAACGCUGGCGGCAGGCCUAACACAUGCAAGUCGAGCGAGGACUUCGGUUCUAGCGGCGGACGGGUGAGUAACGCGUGGGAAUGUGCCCUUCUCUACGGAAUAGCCCUGGGAAACUGGGAGUAAUACCGUAUACGCCCUUUUGGGGAAAGAUUUAUCGGAGAAGGAUCAGCCCGCGUUGGAUAGGUAGUUGGUGGGGUAAUGGCCUACCAAGCCGACGAUCCAUAGCUGGUUUGAGAGGAUGAUCAGCCACACUGGGACUGAGACACGGCCCAGACUCCUACGGGAGGCAGCAGUGGGGAAUCUUAGACAAUGGGGGCAACCCUGAUCUAGCCAUGCCGCGUGAGUGAUGAAGGCCUUAGGGUUGUAAAGCUCUUUCAGCUGGGAAGAUAAUGACGGUACCAGCAGAAGAAGCCCCGGCUAACUCCGUG
rnacentral:rRNA from 1 species